GGGCCCGGGCACCACGUGACCCUGGCCCCGCCCACCGAGCAGUGGCCACGCCCCGACGGGAACGGGGACAGCCGCUGAGCCCGGAGCGGCGGGAGGUGCGGGAAUGGGAACAGCGACGGGAAUGGUGGGACAGCAACGGGAACAGCGACGGGAACAGCAACGGGAAUGGUGGGACAGCAACGGGAAUAGCAACGGGAAUGGGAACAGCAACGGGAAAGACUGUGCCCACAGCCUAACCAGGGCCGGAAAGGCCCAUCGAGGGCCACCUCUCAUCGAUCACUGCCGUGCGCCGUCUGAGAGCGUUCCGCCGGAAAAGAUAACACUUCUUGCUCUAGAAUGCCCGAAAAUGCCUUUAUAAAUUAUGUACCUGCCGAUCAGAGUUAUUUAUUAAAGGCAGUAGUCUCACCGUGCUCCACACUAAGGGCCGCAGGUAUGCCAACUCACAAUUGUAAAGCAGCUUCACUUUACAACUAGAAACAUUUAAUGUGUCAAUGAAGGAAUUCAUCAAAAUACAAAGCACGCUAUUUUCAAAAAGUAGCUAGGCACUUAUUUUCCUGCACUAAUUCAGAAUAACACCAACUUGACUGUUAAAACAAGAUCAGAGGGGGGAAAGUUAAAGGAGACAGUGAUAAGAAUCUUCUCUGUGCUCUUACAAACUCCUCAUGAGGGCAAAAUUAAAAAAACCCAAAAACCUAAAGAGGUUCCCACACCAUCAGGAGGAAUAGGUGAUGACAGGCAUAAGUACACCCAUUUGCUCAAGCAGUCAUCACAUGCUUCUGAUCAUAAGGUAAAUGUAACCAGACUGGAAUUGCCACUUGUAGAGUUGCCUUGUUUUGGAUCAGACAUCAAUGCGGCCCAAGAAAUGGAAAACAAGAUCUCAGUAUCAUCAAAAGAAGAUUCUUCUACUGACAGGAACAGGAUUAAAGGCAGGCCAUGCUAGAGGCAAAUCUGAUGAUACCAGACACAUUUUUAUCUAACAAAGCUGGAUUUCAAAAAUUUUUAAGUGCUUUUUUCCUGGAAUCUGCUUUCAUCUAAUUCUUGAAUAAAAUACAAGCAAGUGCUGGAGGGGUAGGAAAGUGGACUUUAAAUUAUUAUAAUUUUAAGGUAUAUAAGUUCUAAUCAGUUGUAAAUCGUUAUUUUAUGAUUUAUAAAGAAAAAUCUGCAUUUAGAAGUGGAAGAAAUAAUUACUCUGUUUUGCAGUGAAUACCUUUUGGGGAGAAGCUACCAUGUUUUUGUUUUGAAACAACACUGGAUUUUGUUUUGAAACACAUUGGAUACAUGUGAGGAAAUUUAGAAUUGCAGGAGAGUUUGGCUUGGAAGUGACCUUUAAACAUCAUCCAAUCCAAUCACCUGCAACGACCAGGGACAUCUUCAACUACAUCAGAUUGCUCAAAGCCCUGCCACCAUCAAUCUGGGGAACCUGUUACAAGGUUUCAUCACCCUUGUUGCAAAAAAACAAAUCCCUAGCCCAAAUAUAGUCAGUCUGUCCAGUCUGGAUCUAUGCUCCUUUCUCAUCCUACUGGAACAGGCCCUGCUAAGAAGUCUGUCCCCAUUUUUCAUAUAAGCCCCUUUUUAGGUCCUGGAAGGCUUCAAUGAGGUCUUCACAGUCUUCUCUUCUCCAGGUUGAACCACCAUAGCUGUCUCAUCCUUUCCCCACAGAAGAGAUGCUCCAGCCCUCUGACCAUCUUGUGGCUUCCUCUGGACCUACUCCAACAGGUCCAUGUCCUUCCUGUCCUGGAGACCCCAGAGCUGGAUGCAGCACUGCAGGUGGAAUCUCACGAGCACAAAAGUACAGGAGCAGAACCACCUCCCCCAACCUGCUGCCCACACUGCUUUUGAUUCUUUCUGGACUGCAAGUUCACAUUGCUAGCUCAUGUCCAGCCUCUCAUCCACCAGCACCCCCAAGUCCUUCUCCUCACAGCUGUUCUCAAUCCAUUCAACUCCCUGCCUGUAUUGACAUCAGGGGUUGCCCUGAUCCCAGUACAGCAUUUUGUACUUGCCCUCAUUGAUCUUCACGAGGAUCCAUUUGAACCCAGUUCUUCAGCUUGUCCAGAUACCUCAUUUUUCCAAGUUCUGUUUAGAAACAAAAUUCUUGAACCUCUCAGGCAGUCAGUGAAUUGGACCAUUACACCCUGAAGAUUCCCUGAAGGACUGUAAUUCAACAUAUUUGCUCCUUAACCACAGGCUAUUUCCAGCUAGCUUUCCUUCUUGGCACAAAAAAAUAACUGUUUUUUUGUUUAAAGAGCUGCAGUUCUUUGCUUUAGUAGCAAAUGUAGAUAGCACAGCAGACGGAAAGGAAUACACUUUAAAUGAAAAAUAAACAGCACAAAUUUCCUUUUGGUUUUCAAAAGAAGAGUUAUAAACAACAAAUGGCAGCUGAGUACCUCCCUAAAAAGUGCACAGUAAGAGGCAUAUGACAGAGGUAGAAAAGGCACUCAACAGAACAGAUGGAAGUGGAUCUAGCAGGGUAUCUCUAGGAACCAGAAUGAGUUUUGUUACUGGUGUUAAGGGAGCAGCAUUGACUACAAUUAAUAGAGCACUUCUGAUAGAUAGUGUAUUUUUUUUUUAACUUCAAAAAUUGUGUGAAAUUCAUUUUUAAUUCAGCUUUCAUCUUCUCAAGAUAUGUAUCACAUGUUCUGCAGCUACAGGCUGCUUGAUCUUUGAGAGCAAUUUAUGUUUAAGACCUUAUUGCUGCUUUUAAAUCAUAGGAUUCAAGGAGUUGAAUUUACAGCAUUUCUGGAAAACCCCACGGAGAUAAAUAAAGACUUUAGCCUUGUUCAGCAUAUAUUUGUCCUAUAUUUGUGGGGAUCACCUCUUCCAACACACUCCCUGUAGGAGUAGCAGCACAGACAUGCUAAACAUCAUGAUCUCUGCUUAUAAAAGUUCAGAGAUCUUUUUCUCACCCAGAAUGAACUGGGGAAAAAAAAAAAAGACUUCAACAAUAUAAAAGAAUCUAAUUUUUCAAAGCUUUUGUUUUUGGACUCUACUUCCUGUACUCCAGUGAUCUACACCCACCUGCUGUUGGUACACACUUUGUAGUUGCAAGUUGGCUUUUUAAACACAUUUUGAGACAAAGCAUAUAACAUAGCAUAUAAUCUUAGCCAGCCAAAUAUUUUAAGCCUGCACAGUUAAACAUUUAGUGAUGGGCAGUUAAAAAAAAGGAUGUUACAUAUUAUGUCACAAAUGUGGUCGGUGUUACAGAUACAAAUUUUACCCUUGAAAUAUAUUCUGUCAGAAACACCCUUCAAGCCUUGUAAUAUUUAUUUCCCUUUGCCAAGAUAAAACUUGGAUGAGCUGUACAUUACUGGAAUGGCUUCAAAACCAACUGCAAGCAGAAAUUAUUUAUAAGUUGUUCAGAGCUAAAAUAAAGUCUUCUGCUACAUGGUGUUCUGCAACACCACAAUGCUGGCAUAAAGCUCUCCUCAACAGGACCAUGACCUUCAAAAUGACUGCACACAAUCCUGUGCUCGCUGUGAUCCACUAACAGAGGAGUGUUUGCUUUCCUGUCAUUUCACUGAAAGGUAAUGAUAAUACUUUACACAAAAGACUGCCACUUAAUAGGACUACUCAUAAGCAUCAAUUCCAGCACACAAGAAAGGGCUGGGAAGGAAGGCCAGAUAGGAACUCCUUGGUUACACAGCUGAACACUGGGGGUCUAGUGAAAGCUUUAAUAUGUAUUUUACAUCAGUGCAAUUCCCCUAAAACACACAUUUUUACAUGUUAAAAAUCUAAGUAAUACUGCUGAAAGGUAAUUGUUAACCUUUCACAAAACAGAAUGAUUUUUCCUCUGUUUUUUUCAGUAGAAUAGUUUAGGUGUCUCUUUGCAACAUCAGGUUACACAUAUAUUUCCCUAUAUACAGAUAAAGACCUGUCUUUCAGUCCUGGCUGGUAUUUAGUUCACCAAUACCUAUUUUCUCAUCUCAUGCCCCCAACUCCUUUCUCUGAGAGGUCAUGCAGCUCAGCCCAGAGGAGCUGACCAGCCUCAGCUGUGUCACAGUCAGAUGGGUGCAGAACUGUCCUCAAUUCCUCCAGCAAAUACUCAGCAGGUUUCUCUGCUCUGCUGAUAUAUUUUAACCUUGAAGUGCUAAAUGCCUGUUGAGCAUUUGUAAAAGAUACAGGCCGCUUACUUUAGUGAGAAGAUUUUUUUU